rnacentral:rRNA from 1 species
AUCUUACUUUCGAAUACAUAGGGGUAAGAAGCGAACGCAGGGAACUGAAACAUCUAAGUACCUGCAGGAAAGGACAUCAACCGAGACUCCGUAAGUAGUGGCGAGCGAACGCGGACCAGGCCAGUGGCAAUGAUGAAUAAAGCGGAACGAUUUGGAAAAGUCGGCCAUAGAGGGUGAUAGCCCCUUACGCGUAGAACAGUCAUUGUCCUUGAGUAGGGCGGGGCACCUGAAAUCCUGUCUGAACAUGGGGAGACCACUCUCCAAGCCUAAGUACUCGUGCAUGACCGAUAGCGAACAAGUACCGUGAGGGAAAGGUGAAAAGCACCCCGACGAGGGGAGUGAAAUAGAACCUGAAACCGGAUGCCUACAAACAGUCGGAGCCCGCAAGGGUGACGGCGUACCUUUUGUAUAAUGGGUCAACGACUUAGUGUAACAAGCAAGCUUAAGCCGGGUAGGUUUAGGGGCAACGGAAGSGAAUUUGAAUAGGGGGAUUGAGUUAGUUGCAUUAGACCCGAAACCGAGUGAUCUAGCCAUGAGCAGGCUGAAGGUUGGGUAACACCAACUGGAGGGCCGAACCCGUAUCUGUUGCAAUAGAUUGGGAUGACUUGUGGCUAGGGGUGAAAGGCCAAUCAAACUCGGAAAUAGCUGGUUKUCCGCGAAAUCUAUUUAGGUAGAGCGUCGACCGAAUACCCUCGGGGGUAGAGCACUGGAUGGGCUAUGGGGACUCACCGUCUUACUGAUCCUAACCAAACUCCGAAUACCGAGGAGUACUAGUCGGCAGACACACGGCGGGUGCUAACGUCCGUCGUGAAAAGGGCAACAACCCUGACCUCCAGCUAAGGUCCCCAAGUCAUGGCUAAGUGGGAAAGGAUGUGAGGAUCCCAAAACAACCAGGAUGUUGGCUUAGAAGCAGCCAUCAUUUAAAGAAAGCGUAACAGCUCACUGGUCUAAAUAAGGGUCUUUGCGCCGAAAAUGUAACGGGGCUAAAGCCAUGCACCGAAGCUGAGGAUGUGACAGUUGUAGUGACUGUUGCGUGGUAGCGGAGCGUUCCGUAAGUCUGUGAAGGCGGACCCGUGAGGGCUGCUGGAGAUAUCGGAAGUGCGAAUGUUGACAUGAGUAACGAUAAAGGGAGUGAGAGACUCCCUCGCCGAAAGACCAAGGGUUCCUGCUUAAAGUUAAUCUGAGCAGGGUUAGCCGGCCCCUAAGACGAGGCGGACACGCGUAGUCGAUGGGAACCACGUUAAUAUUCGUGGGCCUGGUGGUAGUGACGGAUCUCGUGUGUUGUACAUUCUUACUGGAUUGAAUGUGCGGCGAAGAGGUUCCAGGAAAUAGCUCCACCGUAUAGACCGUACCCGAAACCGACACAGGUGGUCAGGUAGAGUAUACCAAGGCGCUUGAGAGAACUAUGUUGAAGGAACUCGGCAAAUUGCACGCGUAACUUCGGAAGAAGCGUGACCCCAUUUUACGCAAGUAUGAUGGGGUGGCACAGACCAGGGGGUAGCGACUGUUUAUCAAAAACACAGGGYUCUGCGAAGUAGCAAUACGACGUAUAGGGUCUGACGCCUGCCCGGUGCUGGAAGGUUAAAGGGAGGGGUGCAAGCUCUGAACUGAAGCCCCAGUAAACGGCGGCCGUAACUAUAACGGUCCUAAGGUAGCGAAAUUCCUUGUCGGGUAAGUUCCGACCUGCACGAAUGGCGUAACGACUUCCCCGCUGUCUCCAACAUAGACUCAGUGAAAUUGAAUUCCCCGUGAAGAUGCGGGGUUCCUGCGGUCAGACGGAAAGACCCCGUGCACCUUUACUAUAGCUUUACACUGGCAUUCGCCAAGGCAUGUGUAGGAUAGGUGGUAGGCUUUGAAGCAGGGACGCCAGUUCUUGUGGAGCCAUCCUUGAAAUACCACCCUUAUCUUCGUGGAUGUCUAACCGCGGUCCGUUAUCCGGAUCCGGGACAGUGUAUGGUGGGUAGUUUGACUGGGGCGGUCGCCUCCGAAAGAGUAACGGAGGCGCGCGAUGGUGGGCUCAGACCGGUCGGAAAUCGGUCGUCGAGUGCAAUGGCAUAAGCCCGCCUGACUGCGAGACUGACAAGUCGAGCAGAGACGAAAGUCGGUCAUAGUGAUCCGGUGGUCCCGUGUGGAAGGGCCAUCGCUCAACGGAUAAAAGGUACGCCGGGGAUAACAGGCUGAUGACCCCCAAGAGUCCAUAUCGACGGGGUUGUUUGGCACCUCGAUGUCGAYUCAUCGCAU